GCAGCAGACAGCAGCCGCGAUCAGACAGAGAUGCGCCGAGCUGCGGGGAGGGGAGAAACGGGUGGAAAACAGAGGUCUCCCGAGAGCUCCACAAGCCGAUAGUCGGAACCCAGCUCCACCAACAUGUUAUAUUUCAACCUAUUUUCUAAAGCGCAGCAUUAUGUUAAAUGCACUGGGGUUUACCCUAUUACAUUUAAAUUUCAUGGUUAAACAGUACAUGUUAAAAUCUAAGCUCAGCUCGGCAGUAACCUAAAAUACAUAAAUAUGAUUUUAAUUUCCGAAAUAAAUGAAGUACAGACUCCUUGGAUGCUCUAUUAGUGCAAUUAAUGCCCCAGCAAGUCAUUUUGUCCAACAAUUGCACAAAAAAUAUCCAAAACUGAAUACACAAACACAGAGACUCAAAAUCCCGGAACAGUUUCCAAGCCAGACCGAGGCUCUACUGAGGCCUUUCCACGGAGCUAGCUCUGUGGUCACGUGGGUCUGAUGCUCAUUAAUUAUACAGAAUUUUAGGCUUUUAAUACACUUAAACAGAAGAGUGAGAAAAAAAAUUCACCCCCCCUCAGAGUUGUCAUGAGUGUAAACUAGAUCAUUUAAACCAAAAACAUGGUCUGGUACCAGGCUGUAAGCAUGUUUAUUUCUGCUGUGAAACUGGUAUUUUUAAUAUGGGAGUCAAUAAGGAUUUGCUCGCUUCUGACACCAGCCCCCAGCGGAUGAGGGUGGAACUGCAAUUUUUGGUAUUUCCGGGUUGGCCUCAAUUUUUGAGCCGCAUUGUGGGGGCUUGGCUACAUCCCACAAUGCAUUGCGACAUAAUGUCACAAUCUAUUUUUAGCUACUGUAGAAUAUGCUAUUAGGGGUGUGUCACUUUAGGCACAGACAAAAGGAAAUGCCUUAUUUGGCGCUAGAGAGCAUAACAGCGUCACCGCCAUUUUGUAUGGGUCUCCUCAUUCUCCAAAGUCAAAGCAGAUCGAGCAACUACCAUUUUUUUGUGCAGCCUAUGGUUGCAUGUUGUCGAGGUUCAUUUGGCUGAAGAGGAAGUCCGGAUGGCCUGUCCGAGACUUCUCUAGAAUGCUUUGAACUAAAGAAAAGGUGGCGUGGAAUAGGUUUUAUAAUUGUCAUAUUUUGGUUUACUGGCGAAUCAGAAUUUGUAAUGCAAAAAGAGGGUUUAUACAAACACCAAAUAAAACCACGCCUCGUGUCAGAAACGAAGGUUUUGAUUGGAUCAGACAAAAGGAAAUGUGUCAUGUGACUUUAGCAUUACGUGUCAUCAGUGUCUAGUGCAAAUGUCCAGGAUUAUAAUUACUUGUAAAAUACUACUGAUCACAGGAUUAUAAUAUCAAGUAAUAACAUUGUCAUUUCACAGAAUGAUUAAACAUUGGGCUCACCUUAUUAUUGGCAAUAACAAACGUUGUGUGAUUAUGUAUUUAUCAAAAGAGUUCUUUGUCUUCGUCUUCAGCUGUAAAGGUGAAGCAGUUCAGAUGAGUACAGGGCAUGAAAGACCUUGACCAAUAUCUCAUGUAGAUUAGGCCUGUGUCAGAGACUUUAUGUCUCUGCUCGAGCAGACGCAGCAGAUCAUGACCUUUAGGUCAAAACAGGACAUUUCAUGACGCUACAUAUACCCCCUUUUCAAGGGCAUGGUGGUCCAGGCAGAGACCACCUGACGUUGAACAAACCAGAGGCCAGAAGGACUCCGUCGAGAAAGCAAGGUGUAAUUUCCCAGGCAGAGGCCAAAAGUGGUGAGGAACGAACCCCACACCGAAAGACAGUCGCGGAUAAUUUCCUUUGAAAGCAGUUAAUCAACAGUCAGCAGAUCAUUAAUAUAUCCACGGGAAGGGAAUAAUUCAAACAGUAAUUUGAUCCUUGUAAUAGCACUUAGCGUAAUCCAGAGUAGGAAGAAGAUGAGCAGGCAACAGAUCAGGUCCCAGCGAACGAAGUAUCCCAGCAGCCAUAGCCGAAAUCAACGGAUGUCCAGGUCCAACAUGCCGAACACCAGGCAGCAAGCAGCAGAGUCCGAUGACGAAUCAUAGGGCCACCCCCAGGAAUCGAGGCUUAUCGGCAAAACUCAGCAGAGGAGAGUGAGCACAACACAGGGCACUUCAUUGUAGACACAAACAAAUGGCAUCUGAUGCAAAUCAACAAAUAAAAAGAAACCUGUCAACAUGUGUGCCUGUAUGUACUAUGUGAAGCAAUUAUGUGAACAGAGCCCAAAUGAAGAAAUGGAUGCAAUACACUACGUGUACUGGAAAAAGUGGUGUAAAAGAGCAAAAUAACAAAACACUAUAAUAUAUGUAAGGGGAAAAUCACGCCACUAAGCAAAAAUGUUAUCAAAAUGAGGGCAAAAAUGGUUGUAGUCCAUAACUGGUGAAUCAACAAGUUAAUCAAAAAGUUAUCAAACUCAACUGUAAAUAACAAUAUAAAAGUAGAUAUAUGAGUGUCAAAGAGCACUAAAAUGUAAAUCAGUGAAGUUAGUAAUCAUCCUAUAUGUGAAUGUACCCCAUAAGGAAUUAAGAUUAGUGAAAAUAAAAACAAAUUUGGAUAACACAACAGAAUGUGUGUUACGUGCUCUGUCCCUUUUCAGCCACAAGAUGGCCUUAGUGGCUUCAGCCUCGUCCAUCUCCUGCACAGCUGUGGGUAAUGGGCAAUCAGGGAGCAGCUGUUAAAAGCUGCUCUCCUGCCCACUGUCUUUGAGAAGGUACAGGGUAGUAUAGACUCUUCUGGAGUUUGUACUAUUCUCUUCUCCUCGUCUGCUUUGGUAAAAACUCGUUCGCUCGCUAGUAAUCGUUACACACUCUUUCGGAUUUCGGAUUUGGAUUUAUAGGAUUUGACAAUUUGGCUUUUCUGACUUAGGAACUUAUUUUGACUUCGAUUUAGGAUCUCCCCAGAGCUUCCUCCUUUUUGGUAGUUUGCCCCCAUCCCCUUCUGGGUUGGUGUCUCCUUUUUGUAUAUAACUCCUUUCUGUUUUGUAUAUAGUUAAUUAUCACGUCCUUUGUAAAUAUUACUUUUUGUAAUAAAAUUUUUGUUUUAUUGCGGCACUGCACUUUGUUAUUAUUUCUCCCACACACCAAUUUUAUUACUCCCCUAUCCUCAUCUCUCCUAGAGAGCCGGGGACGUAAUAAUGUGGAAUAAACCCUUUUACAAUUAAAACUUACUCAUUACCUGACUUCGGAAACCCACAGCAUGACCAUCUCAAAUCACCCAAAUCUGCAUGUCAUGUAUAAAUAGGAAAGACAACCAUGCACACACACAAACAAACUUGUGUAACCUGAAACGGGACCAUGGGACAGACGACGGAAAAUAGAGAUCACCCCAUUUGCAAGGUAGAAGGCCUAGCUGAAGGCACGGGAGGUGACAAAGGAGGUACAGGUGCAGGAGCGUCCGGCGCAGGUUGCAGUAUCUGGACUGCCGGGGCUUUGCGGACAACCGGCACGAGAUGGGCGGCCACAGGCGUUGCGGACCGAGUCCCGUAGAGAGGUCAUCCGUGCGGAGAAGUAACGGAACAGGAAAAAUGACAACCCCAAUGACAGACAAAAGUUUAAGCAUGCAGUGAAUAACACGAAAGAAUCAGCGGAGGACCAGGAGUAAGACACUGGUUUAAACCUGAGACCGGGAUCUGCCGACAACUCACACAGCACCCUGUUUACCGCACCAACCCGAACCAUGGUUGGACCACUGAACAUAACACGAUCCACCGUAGCUGGAGAAAGAGCAAAGGAGAUGUUAUCAUAGAAAGAAGAAAACUCCACAACAGACUUAUGCUCACCAGGAUCCAAGUAAUAUAGAGAGACCUCACCUACAUGGACCGUAGCACUACGUGGAACUGUCACCCAUAGGGUUUGGGACGGAAGCAAAACACAUGUGGACACACUGUGACGCUCAUAGAAGACAUCCGCUUCACGAGCAGGGGUAUUAACUAGCCAUCGAUCAUCAACCACAACAGUCGUAGUUUGAACCACAUGUGAACGUGGAGUCACAGUCAUAGGACAUUUAGAAUCAACCGACAACUCAUCAAUGCCACACACACCAGUGGCACCGCCACGCAGAAAAGGUGUGCCUGGACACAAGAAGUGCAGGCCACGUGUGAGAGAACACACGCGCAGAUCCGGGACCAACCGGACGUGCGGCGUGUCCUCAUGGAACGCAACGACUGGAGGCGUAUGUAACCUGACAUGAGUGUCGUCAACCCAAUUUCCUACAUUUACCACAUCUUUUAGUCGGUAGAUGUCAUCUGGAGAUACAAUAGGUAAGUUGAUGAUGAAAGCUAGCUCUCUAGCAUCUGGAUUGACACUUAAUGGCACUGCCCAAUGAGAAAGCCAAGUGAGUCUGAAGGGCCAUCGGGUCCUUCGAUGUCACUCGAGCAUCGCAGAUCGGACCAUGGCCAGGGACACGAGGUACGGAGGAUCCUCCCCAUGAGGAGGGUAUCGAUCGAGGCGCUCACGUCCCGACCGCAGAGACAUCUGCUCGAGCAGACGCAGCAGAUCAUGACCUUUAGGUCAAAACAGGACAUUUCAUGAUGCUACAGCUUUAUAUUUUAAUUAUUUCAGCUUUUGUUUAAUUAUAUAUUGUUUUAUUUAACUUAUGCCAUACCGUAAUACUGAUUUUGGGAAAAAUAUGUGUUAUUUUAGUUGAGUUAAACACCUUCCUUAUGUGGCAAGGUGGACAAACGAGGGCCUGGGCGGGAUUCGAUCCCCAGACUCCCGGGUGAGAGUCAUACGCUCUAACCAGUCAGCCAAAGGAACAACCCCUUGGCCAAGUAGCCAGGGCGUAUCAUCUAUCGGGACACUGUGACAGGACACUCACACUGCCACACUUAGUAGAAAUGAAUGCACUGGGGGCAAACAGAGACCCAUCCAAGAUGGCGACCAGCCACUACAGCAGUUCCAAUAUGCAGUACCAAUAGAGUGUUCAUAUGUCUGUGAUGUCAGCUCCCUCAAGAUUUGAUUUUUCAGGGUCCUUUGGUUUGAUUAUUAAGCAAUAAUUAUAAUUACCACAGUUACCACUAUUUUGGUGCAUUUUUUUCACUGUUGAAGUUUGUUUUCCCCUAUCAUAGCGUUUUCAUACUUUCAAAUUAUUUCAGCACACAUUAAUUCAAGUUACCAAAUACCUUUUGCUAGCUGAGACAACAAACUGAGAUGGUGAUGCAGAGAUCCGGGAGGUUCUAGCAUUUAGAUCUGAAAUUCAGAUCACCAGAUAGUUCACGUGGGACUGUAAAGGGGACAGCCACCUUUUGGAGCAGCUUGUGAAAAAACUUAAGGUGCGUAGUUUCAAUUGGCAUAAAAAAUCAAGUUAUGUUAAAGCUAAGAGGAAGUUCGUGACAGCAUGGAGAUGGUCCCACACCAACUUUAUACCACCAUCUUUGUGAAAACACAUGAUCAAAUGAGCAAAGGCUUCCUGGUGCUGCUUCAGCUUUGCAGCAAUGUAGCCCCAUUGUUUUAUGAGAAAGGCUGGAGCUACGGGCAAGUUGGUCCUUCCUCGAUUGCUCGACUGGUUAGGAUGAACAAUCACUGGCUUCUUCUUUUGUCUAAUCAGGGAUGGAAAUAUGUAAGGUGCUGUUGUGUGCUGGUAGAGUUGCUGUUGUUUUUUAUUCUAAUAUUACACAACUUUCUUUUAAUUCUGAUGAGUAAAUCCCACACUAAUUGGCUAAUGCUGAGAAACAAGCUGACGCCAUUGUUGUGUUGUUUUUACUGCUGGUCCAGCCCACUAAAGUGUCCAGUCGGCACAUGGAUCUAAGAGCUAACAGCAGUAAAAACUCUCAAAACAAAAACUAACAUCACAUCAUGAAAGAACCUCAAGUGUGAAAAGUUGGACUGGAUCAGGUCCUGACAUUUACAUAUGACAUUUGAAACUCUGGCUUUGAGGCGUGGAUUGAGAAUGAAAGGGGCGUAUAGGUGAAGUCCUCAUUCAUAGCUUGUUUAAACCGUGAUACACAAAACCUAGUAUUACAAAGGUCAUGAGACCUGUUCAUGUUCCCUGUCACGUUCCUGAAGUAAAGCAGCUGAAACUCACUGUGCUGUGUUGGUUGCUGCAAAGGGUAGUUUGGUUCUAGCAGAAAUGGGGUUGAGUUUAAAGAAUCCAUUACCAAUUGAAAUGGUUUUAUUACUAGUGUUAUCACUAGUGUUGAUAGUGCUGUUAGUGUUGAUCAUUCUCAUUAGUAGUAGCUGGAGUGUUUACAGGUUUUAGUAACAGUAGUAAGGUUGAUAAUAGUAGUAAUGAUUGUAGUAGUAAUACACUGAGGUUUAUAUUCUUGAGCCACAGGCUUUUAUUCAAAGCUAAAAAUAUAAUGUAAUAGAAAUAGAUUUUUUAAAUUCAUAACUACAGCUUAUUUUUUUCAAAACUGGUCAAGGUGGUUCUGAAACAGAAGUUGGUGAAAAAUGGACCUGACUUUACUGAUUUAAAGAAAAUAUUAUUGAAUAAAUAUUAAUAAAAAUAUAUUUUCAUUGCAGUCACCGGAGAAAAUAAGAUCCCAUCUGAAACCAGGCACAGUGCAAAAGUCCUGCUACUGAAUAAAAAUUAUUAAUCACCCAUAAGCCAAAGUCAAAAGUCCCAUAAAUUGUCACACACUGAUGUGUGCGAAAUUUGUUCUCUGCAUUUGACCCAUCCCCUGGGGGAGCAGUGAGCUGCAGACACUAUCGGGAACUCUUUGGUGGCUUAACCCCCCAAUCCAACCCCUUAAUGCUGAAUGUCAAGCAGGGAGGCAUUGGGUUCCAUUUUUUCAAAGUCUUUGGUAUGACCCGACCAGGAAUGGAACCCUGAUCUCCCAGUCUGAGGGCGGACUCUCUACCACGAGGCCACUGAUAUUUAUAUGAAUGGGUUCCUUAACAAGCAUGAAACUUCCAAAUCACAUCAUUAGACAUGUUUAAUUAUUAUGAGUCCAAGACAUGCAGACAAGAAAAAACAAAAGGAUAGUGACAAAGUCAUAAAACAUUUAACUUGUUUAGUUAGUGAACAAAGAUUAGACAUCAUGGUUAAAGCUCAUAUCAAAAUUUUUAUAAUUUAAAAAAUAAAUAAAAAUAAUAAGCAGGCUGCAUAUUGGUAAUGAAUUAAACAAGUAUGGAGAUUUGUCUACACAUCCUUGGCAGCUAGAGUCUUUACAGAGAAUAAACAGUUUUAGGAAAAGCAACAAAAGUUUUUAAAGAAAGUAUGCUCCUCAUACACAACAUAUGUUGUUUUGUUCAUCCUUAGUAGGGAUUAGAUUUUCUGCAGUUUUUAGGUACAGUAAGCAACAUGAAUGAUACACUAAUAUACAACGCUGCUUUUGGGCAUGACGGUUCUCGUGAUGGAGAGUCCAGCACCUUCAGAUUAUGCAAAAGGUGGGAGAGCAGAGGUUAUCGCACCAGACUGGACUCAAAAUGCAGAAUGUACAAAGAUGCUGCUGAGCCAGUCUGGCACAGAAAAAUGGGAAGCAAGAAUCUGGUAAGUGGACGAUGUGAAAUAUGUGGUGGCAAAAACAAAAAUUACUGGACAGCAAUAAAACAUGAAAUUGUACGUCGCUUUGGAUGAAAGUGUCUGCCAAAUAAAUAAACAUAAAACAUACUUGCACCUUCAGAGCAUCGCCCAUGUUGUUAACCAACUGUCCUCUUGUCAUGCAAGUUCCAUAGAAAGGUAAUUACUAAGGUCAAUGACAGAUUUAACAUUUUUUGAAAGAUUUCAAGUCUGUGGUCAACAUUUGACUAGCUUAACAGUUUUAUUUGAAUUUGAUGGACAGGUGUCAUUUGAAUACCAAAACUCCAGUUCUUCUCCUGAACUGGAAAGGUUUAUUGUAAUAUCUUAAGUGCACCAGUCAACAGAAUGGGGGAUCCCUUUUUGGUGCACCAUCUGUAAUGUUGAGAGUAUGCAGAAAUAAAAAUGUAUUUUGUUAAUAACUACUUUGUGUUUUAAGAACUAACCGUAACAGUCUUCCAUAAAUAAAAACUAAUAUCACUGCAAUAAACACCCAGUAAAGAGUUUCAAGUAGAAAAGUUUAACUGCAUCAGGUCCUGGCAGCUAAGACCCUAUUUUUUUAUUAUAUAUUUUUUUAUUAUUACAUGUUGUUAACCACCUGCAUGCAAGCUCACUAGAAAAGUCAUUCUGUAAUAAAAAAAAAAGUUUAUCAUCACUCUAUUAAAAAAAUUAAGUCUCUAUUCAACAUUUAUCUAACAUGGCUACCAUUCAGUUUUAUUAGAAUUUGAUUGACAGGUAUAAUUUAAAUACCCCAAUGCCAGUUCUUCCAAGCUACAUUUAAAAAAUCUCAUUAGCCAAGAUGGUUUAGGCAUCCUCUGGUAGGAUGUUUGUUGAAUUUCUCCUGGGGAAGGAGUCUCAGACAUGUCCUAAUGGUAAUAAUAAUAAAGAAUUAGAUUUAAAGCCCUUUUAGAGGCAGCCAAAGAGCUUUCCAAUAUUCACACACUCGCACAUUCACACGUUGUUGAAGUGGAAUGCUUCAUAAUAUGUUGAUUGUUGUCUUUUCUGCUGUUUUUACUGCAGCUUGUGUGUUCAAACCAUUAAACUGAAAAGUAUAAUGAGGUAAAGUGGUGUAAUGGAGGAUUAACGCAACACUAACUGAAAACUACUGCCCAGCAUUUAUGAUUCAAGACAAGGUUGCUCCAUAUUCUGGUGGAUCACAGUUUCUUCUGACAUCUCCUGAAGUUUUUGACCCUUGAGAAAAUGAAGAUCGUCAUCUUGAUUGCUGUAACUCUUAUGGUAAUCUUAGCAACAGAAAUUAAUGAAGCAUACGAAUUUGGGGACAUAAUUGCUUUCGAAGGAAAGUUAUACAAGCACUAUGGUGUUUAUGUAGGAACUACAGAGUUCUCUGAAAAAAAGCUAGAUGAAGACUACUUUCACUUCACAGGUAAAGCAUCUGUUGAUAACUUUAAACCUGCAGAGUUGAAUCUAUAAAAAUGAUUCUGUUUUUUUCUUGUGAAUGUGUACUUUUAUGUGAAAAAAAACCUACAAGUUUCUGAACAUAUUUUAUCUAUAUAUACAAAAUACACAACAUAAAUAUUUGGUCUUUCAGUAAUAUAACUACAAAGUACCAACCCGUAAUGAUUUUGGGGUAUGCAGUUGUCUUUAAAAUAACUGUGCUUUCACAUUGAUGACUGGUACCAUCAGAUCGUACUUCCUACAAACGAUUUCAAAAUUACCAAAUCUUGGACAUUUGUCAGAGUCCCAACCCAAAUGUGUAUUUGGAAGUCUAAAAAAUGAAAAUAAGCAUGAGCUAGACAAUUAUCUGGAUGGAAUCUUGUACAGUCAAGAUGAACUAAAGAAAGAUGAAAAGAACAUGAAAAGCCAAAUUGAGAAGUAUGGAGCUACAGAGCAUGCUCUUUGGACCUACAACUGUGAGCACCUUGCCACUUAUGUGCGUUAUGGAAUCAAAAAUCCUUGCAGGUACGUGACUGGUAUGAACUUCAUGACUGAAGCUUUUUUUUUUGUUUGUUUUUUUAAUUAAUUUUUUCACCCUGUCCUGUAAUAUUUCAUAAACUCAGGUUUUAACAGGUAUGUGAUACUAGAUCAUAAAUGUUUGCAUUAAAUACUAUUAGGUCAUGGAUAUUAUUACAGCCCAAGUUACAUUUAGGGUGUACCUUUUUUAUUUGGUGAAUUGUGGAAAAAUAGUGAAUAAAAUAGAUUGUUCUUAAGGUGGUCAGUAGACUGUAACCACUAAGAAUAUCAAUUUUGAUGUUGUGAUUAUUUGAUGAUUACAUUUUUUAAUAUAUUUUGAUCAUGAUAAUAGUGUGGCCAGAUUGAGAACGUAUGUGAAUUUGUUUUUGUCUACAGUGUGGUCGGAGGCUUGCUUCACACUUUGUCCAGAAUCCAGGUGUUGACCAGAAACUUAUAAAACAACUUAAAGAAGCUAUUAAAGGAGCACAAGGCUGUUCCUGCCCUUUCAUCGAUGUGUGACCAGAGCGCUCAGGGAAAACUAAUAAUAGUGUGUCUACUGAGUUGUUGCAGUUUCUUUCACAGCAUCAUGUGUAAUCCAUAAAUACCAUGGCAUCACAAUUAAUAGUCUCCAGGUGCUUUGUCUUAAUUUAGUUUUGACAACAGGGAGUAGUAGGUACUAACUUUUCAUUUGAUUUUCAUUCUGUCAUAUAAAAAAAAAGUUUUAAUUGGAAUUUGGCCUGAACAUUUUAGAUUCACAGACACUUAAUUUAUUUAGCUAUAUUUGUAGAAUGUUACACAUGAACAAUGUAAUUCAAAUCAAUCCUCUGGAUACCAAAGUUGUUUUCCACCUGAAAGCUACACGUAUAACCACGUGUAGAUCCCAAAAUCUCAUCAAAAAGCUUCUAUCCUUUAAACAGCCAAACAUAGCAUCAGGAUUAGGACCGUCAUCAUCAAUCACCCAUGUCCAGUCCUAUAUAUGUCUAUUGACCUCUGGUGAAGUAUCUACAGCUCCCAAG